CAGGGAAACAGCUAUAGCUUGAACUUUGCAUAAAACUGAUGUUUCUGGCCAGGCGUGAGUCACCAUGCCCAGCCUCAAGUAGGUUUUUAAUGAAUUUCUUAUACUUUUAAAAUACAACAUUAUGGCAAUAAAAGACUAUUCCACUUCUUUUCUAAUCUGGAGAUUGUAUUGAUUUUUCUAGUAUAAUUUUCUGGCUCAUACCUCCAGUACAGUGGUGAAUAGUGGUAAAAGUAGAAAUUCUCGUCCUGUUUUCAAACUUGCAGAUAAAGCCCCUAGUCAUUCACCAUUAAGUAUAUUAGCUUUUGGUGUGGAGUUUUUCAUCUUGGCUCACUGCAGCCUCAACCUCUUAAGCUCAAGUGAUCCUCCCACCUUAACUGCCUGAGUAGUUGGGACAAUAGGCAUGCACCACCAUGCCCAGAUAAUUUGUUUUUUAAUAUUUUGUAAAGAUGGGGAUUCCCUAUAUUGUCCAGAAUGGUCUUGAACUCCUGGCUUUAUGCAGUCUUUCCACCUCAGCCUCCCAAAGUUCUGGGUUACAGGUGUGAGCCACUGCGCCGGGCCAAUUUUGGUUUUUCAUGGAGGACUUUUAGCAGGUCUCAAAAGUUUUCUUCUAAUAGUUUUCUUGGUGUUCUAU
rnacentral:lncRNA from 1 species